rnacentral:rRNA from 1 species
UUUUGACGACAAGACCCUAUGAAGCUUUAUUGUUAAACUCUCUAGUGUGAGUUUACAUUUUUAAUGGGGCAUUAUAGAAAAAAAUUUAAUAUAGCUAUCUAACUAGAUACAACUGUGUACAUAUAAGAUUAGCUACUCUAGGGAUAACAGCGAAAUUUCUUUUACUAGAAGGUAUUAAAAAAGAAGUUUUCGACCUCGAUGUUGGCUA